rnacentral:rRNA from 1 species
UACGUAGGGUGCAAGCGUUAAUCGGAAUUACUGGGCGUAAAGCGUGCGCAGGCGGUUCGCUAAGACAGAUGUGAAAUCCCCGGGCUUAACCUGGGAACUGCAUUUGUGACUGGCGGGCUAGAGUAUGGCAGAGGGGGGUAGAAUUCCACGUGUAGCAGUGAAAUGCGUAGAGAUGUGGAGGAAUACCGAUGGCGAAGGCAGCCCCCCUGGGCCAAUACUGACGCUCAUGCACGAAAGCGUGGGGAGCAAACAGG